AUGUGCAAGUUUUACGCAAGUUUGGUAGCGCUAGGUCAAUUAGGGGCCCGAGUUAAGAGCAGAAGGGAAAUAUGAUCAAGGUCAAAGUCAAUAAAGGUCGCAGUGACCUGGUU